CGCCUUUCCUGGCAGAGGAGACACCUUGAUCAUGAUGGAGGUUUUCCCAGGGUGAGGCUCAUCUGUGCACUUUAGGUGUGCUGACUCCUGCAAUUUCCCCAAAUGUGGGAAACUCGACUGCACAAUUUGUGGUAGUGGGGGGACUGCAUUCGCACUUUCAAA